GAUCCCUUUGCACCACAUGGCUGCUUUUACUUCACCUAAUUUCUUAGCCCCAGUCUCCUCCAUGGCUUUUUCUGACUUUCCUGAUGUCCAUCACCUUCCCAUCAUUCCCUCUGCAAGAGGCAGAGUCAUCUCAAAAUUCAGGACAAAUGAUUUAGAUACCAAUGAGGUAUCUAGUGUGGCUACAACAAACGGGUUUUAUAAGGGAAAAACCAAGAGCUGUGCUGACUACAAAAGGGAGGAUCAGAGGAUUUGAGUUCAAGGCUUAGUGUCUAAUUUCAGCCUGUCCAAGUGAGGAUUGAAGCCUGGAGGCCAUCUGGGCCAGAUGUCCCACACCUUCUGGGAAAAGGAGGACAGGAGAAGAGCAAAAGGAGCCCCAAAUAUGCUGCAGAAGAGGCCAUCACAAAACGCUGGAGACACAAUGCAGAACAACCACUCCCUCUUCUUCCAAGAGUCAAAGAGAAUGAAAAUAGCAGAAUAUUAAAAUCAGAGAGAAAAAAAUUGGGCAAAGUCAUGUUUGCUUUUCCACAUUGGCAAAAUUACAAGUAACAUUUUAUCUACAGUAAAAAUAGCUAUAUCUAUGAUAAAUACAGCCUUUAAACCAGUUAAAAGAGAGUUUUAACUGGAUCAGACUUGGAUCCUAUGUGUCAGUUGCAGAGCAUCCUGCCUCUCUGCGAGGCCCAGGUAAGAAAACAGAAGCAUGCUUGUCUCCAACUGGAGAUACCAUUUUUUUAGGUCUCCUUGGUUAAGGAGUUGCUGGGGAGCUCCUCAACUUAAGGAGAGCCACCCAGGCUCCCUUCAGUGCUCCCUUGUGGAGACAAAGCCUCUUCUACUGCAAGAGAAGACUAAACAUGGAAACCAAUCUGAGGAGGCUGGAUUCCCCACGUCUGGCUUGGGAAGGAUGAUGGGAGUGGAGACCUUUAAUCAGUGAGGGACUUCCCAGAGUGUGGUGUUGGCAGAUGACAGUAAUGAGAUCAUGCACGAGGCAUCAGCAUCAGAUGACCUGAUCAGUCUCUCUUUGUCCUGGACAUGUGUCUAACCCAGAGCCUCUACCUUGUAAUGCACUGGGCUUGUGGUCUGUUGACAGCACGAGACACACAUGGUCUGUGACAACACUUGGCAAGGCUGAAACAGUGUCCUCUAGCCCUUGCCAUGGUCUGUCUCCCACCUUCUCCAGUGACAGCCAUUGUGAUGUUCAGAGCUGCUGGACUUAGGAAGUUUAGGAGGGGGGCUGCUCCCUGUCUGUUGUCAGCUAUAUGGUGAAGUUUUACUCCUAGCUGCCUGCUUCCCCAGGGAAACAGAUACAUGUGGUUGCAAGGAUGUCACCAUUAUUACCAUGACUCUUCUCAGGAAGCUACAGGGUAAUGCAUUCAUUCCCCUGUUUUGCUGUCCCUGUUGGGUAGAUAUGUCACAGUGCCUUGCAGACUGGCCCUGCCUUAGAUCCUGUA